GCAAAUGGAUGUUAGGGAUAUGAGUGUCUUCCCAGAUGAAUCAUUUGAAGGUGUCAUUGAUAAAGGAACUCUUGAUUCACUGAUGUGUGGCAAUGAUGCUCCAAUUAGUGCUGCUCUAAUGCUAGGGGAAGUGAGUAGGA